ACGAUUAAUCGUGAACCGCGAACGGCUCAUUAUAACAGCUAUAAUUUACUUGAUCUUGACUUCCUACUUGGAUAACUGUGGUAAUUCUAGAGCUAAUACAUGCACCAAAGCUCCGACCUUACGGGAAGAGCGCAUUUAUUCGAACAAAACCAAGCGGCUUCGGCCGUCCGCAGUUGACUCAGAAUAACUAAGCUGAUCGCAUGGUCUUGAACCGGCGACGUGUCUUUCAAGUAUCUGCCUUAUCAACUUUCGAUGGUAGUGUAUCUGACUACCAUGGUGGUGACGGGUAACGGAGGAUAAGGGUUCGACUCCGGAGAAGGGGCCUGAGAAAUGGCCACUACGUCUAAGGAUGGCAGCAGGCGCGCAAAUUACCGACUCUCAGAAUGAGGAGGUAGUGACGAGAAAUAACGAGACCGUUCUCUACGAGGCCGGUCAUCGGAAUGGGUACAAUUUAAACCCUUUAACGAGUCUCUAUGAGAGGGCAAGUCUGGUGCCAGCAGCCGCGGUAAUUCCAGCUCUCAAAAUGCAUAGAAUUAUUGCUGCGGUUAAAAAGCUCGUAGUUGGAUCUGUGCCGGUGGACCCGGUCCACUCGAAAGGGUGCGCACUGGGCUCCCCGGCUUUCUGCCGGUUUUCCCGUCGUGGCCUUAACUGGUUGCGGCGGGUGGCUGGCGAUUUUACUUUGAACAAAUCAGAGUGCUUAAAACAGGCGUUUCGCUUGAAUGUUCGUGCAUGGAAUAAUAGAAAAGGAUUUCGGUUCUAUUUUAUUGGUUUUAUAGACUGAGAUAAUGGUUAACAGAGACAAACGGGGGCAUUCGUAUUGCUGCGUGAGAGGUGAAAUUCUUGGACCGCAGCAAGACGAACUACAGCGAAAGCAUUUGCCAAGAAUGUCUUCAUUAAUCAAGAACGAUAGUCAGAGGACCAAG
rnacentral:rRNA from 1 species